UGGUCUGACAAGAGCUGGUUGAGGAGGAUUGGGAGAUUCAGUUGCAGACAACUGAGGAGGGUCAUCAGACAUCACUGUAACAGAGGCAGAAGAAGCCAAAUUGGAAGACUGUGCAGGAUCAAAAUGUUGGGAGACAACAGGAUCAGACCUGGAAGCCUCAACAGAAGGUGAAGAGUGGGGAGCCUCAAUAGAGGAUGAGGAAGAAGGAUUAGAAUUGAGAGGAGGAUGACAAACUGACUCAAUGACAGUUAAGGUGGUUGAAAUGAACUCAGUAGGUGUGGAACUGGAAGUAGGAGAGGAAAAGAGGGUAGGAUAAG
rnacentral:lncRNA from 1 species